GAUGAACGCUGGCGGCGUGCCUAAUACAUGCAAGUCGAGCGAACGGACGAGAAGCUUGCUUCUCUGAUGUUAGCGGCGGACGGGUGAGUAACACGUGGAUAACCUACCUAUAAGACUGGGAUAACUUCGGGAAACCGGAGCUAAUACCGGAUAAUAUUUUGAACCGCAUGGUUCAAAAGUGAAAGACGGUCUGGCUGUCACUUAUAGAUGGAUCCGCGUUGCAUUAGCUAGUUGGUAAGGUAACGGCUUACCAAGGCAACGAUGCGUAGCCGACCUGAGAGGGUGAUCGGCCACACUGGAACUGAGACACGGUCCAGACUCCUACGGGAGGCAGCAGUAGGGAAUAUUCCGCAAUGGGCGAAAGCCUGACGGAGCAACGCCGCGUGAGUGAUGAAGGUCUUCGGAUCGUAAAACUCUGUUAUUAGGGAAGAACAUAUGUGUAAGUAACUGUGCACAUCUUGACGGUACCUAAUCAGAAAGCCACGGCUAACUACGUG
rnacentral:rRNA from 1 species